AACGCACAUUGCGCCCUUCGGUAUUCCGUUGGGCAUGCCUGUUCGAGCGUCAUUAGAAACUUCAAGCUCAGCUUGGUGUUGGGUGCUUGUCCCCGCCCGCGGCGGACUCACCUCAAAUGCAUUGGCGGCCGGUAUGUUGGCUACAGCGCAGUACAACGCGUCUGGCGUCUUGAUAUACUGGUCCUCCAGAAGCCCUUCUUUGACUUGACCUCGGAUCAGGUAGGGAUACCCGCUGAACUUAA
rnacentral:misc_RNA from 2 species